rnacentral:rRNA from 1 species
CCUACGGGGUGCAGCAGUGAGGAAUAUUGGUCAAUGGUCGAGAGCCUGAACCAGCGACGUCGCGUGAAUGAUGAAGGAUCUAUGGUUUGUAAACUUCUUUUAUAUGGGAAAAAAGUGAGGAACGUGUUCCUUUUUGUAUUUACAAUACCAAUAUGCAUCGGCUAACUCCGCGCCAGCAGCCGCGGUAAUACGGAGGGUGCGAGCGUUAUCCGGAUUUAUUGGGUUUAAAGGGUACGUAGGAGGUUAAUUAAGUCAGCGGUGAAAGUGUGUAGCUCAACCAUACAAUUGCCGGUGAUACUGGUUGACUUGAGUAUAUGUGAGGUAGGCAGAAUGCGUGGUGUAGCGGUGAAAUGCAUAGAUAUCACGAAGAACUCCGAUUGCGAAGGCAGCUUACUAAACUAUAACUGACACUGAAGCGCGAAAGCGUGGGGAUCAAACAGGAUUAGAUACCCCUGUAGUC